rnacentral:rRNA from 1 species
UACGUAGGUGGCAAGCGUUAUCCGGAAUUAUUGGGCGUAAAGCGCGCGCAGGUGGUUUCUUAAGUCUGAUGUGAAAGCCCACGGCUCAACCGUGGAGGGUCAUUGGAAACUGGGAGACUUGAGUGCAGAAGAGGAAAGUGGAAUUCCAUGUGUAGCGGUGAAAUGCGUAGAGAUCGGGAGGAACAUCAGUUGCGAAGGCGGCUCUCUGGACCAGCACUGACACUGAGGCACGAAAGCGUGGGGAGCAAACAGG